rnacentral:rRNA from 1 species
UUCGCCCUUAGAGUUUGAUCCUGGCUCAGGACGAACGCUGGCGGCGCGCCUAACACAUGCAAGUCGAACGAGCGAGAAAGAGCUUGCUUUCUCGAGCGAGUGGCGAACGGGUGAGUAACGCGUGAGGAACCUGCCUCAAAGAGGGGGACAACAGUUGGAAACGACUGCUAAUACCGCAUAAGCCCACGGGUCGGCAUCGACCAGAGGGAAAAGGAGCAAUCCGCUUUGAGAUGGCCUCGCGUCCGAUUAGCUAGUUGGUGAGGUAACGGCCCACCAAGGCGACGAUCGGUAGCCGGACUGAGAGGUUGAACGGCCACAUUGGGACUGAGACACGGCCCAGACUCCUACGGGAGGCAGCAGUGGGGAAUAUUGCACAAUGGGGGAAACCCUGAUGCAGCGACGCCGCGUGGAGGAAGAAGGUCUUCGGAUUGUAAACUCCUGUUGUUGAGGAAGAUAAUGACGGUACUCAACAAGGAAGUGACGGCUAACUACGUGCCAGCAGCCGCGGUAAAACGUAGGUCACAAGCGUUGUCCGGAAUUACUGGGUGUAAAGGGAGCGCAGGCGGGAAGACAAGUUGGAAGUGAAAUCCAUGGGCUCAACCCAUGAACUGCUUUCAAAACUGUUUUUCUUGAGUAGUGCAGAGGUAGGCGGAAUUCCCGGUGUAGCGGUGGAAUGCGUAGAUAUCGGGAGGAACACCAGUGGCGAAGGCGGCCUACUGGGCACCAACUGACGCUGAGGCUCGAAAGUGUGGGUAGCAAACAGGAUUAGAUACCCUGGUAGUCCACACCGUAAACGAUGAUUACUAGGUGUUGGAGGAUUGACCCCUUCAGUGCCGCAGUUAACACAAUAAGUAAUCCACCUGGGGAGUACGACCGCAAGGUUGAAACUCAAAGGAAUUGACGGGGGCCCGCACAAGCAGUGGAGUAUGUGGUUUAAUUCGACGCAACGCGAAGAACCUUACCAAGUCUUGACAUCCCUUGACGAUGCUGGAAACAGUAUUUCUCUUCGGAGCAAGGAGACAGGUGGUGCAUGGUUGUCGUCAGCUCGUGUCGUGAGAUGUUGGGUUAAGUCCCGCAACGAGCGCAACCCUUAUGGUCAGUUACUACGCAAGAGGACUCUGGCCAGACUGCCGUUGACAAAACGGAGGAAGGUGGGGAUGACGUCAAAUCAUCAUGCCCUUUAUGACUUGGGCUACACACGUACUACAAUGGCGUUAAACAAAGAGAAGCAAGACCGCGAGGUGGAGCAAAACUCAGAAACAACGUCCCAGUUCAGACUGCAGGCUGCAACUCGCCUGCACGAAGUCGGAAUUGCUAGUAAUCGUGGAUCAGCAUGCCACGGUGAAUACGUUCCCGGGCCUUGUACUCACCGCCCGUCA